UAAGCGGAGGAAAAGAAACCAACAGGGAUUGCCCUAGUAACGGCGAGUGAAGCGGCAACAGCUCAAAUUUGAAAUCUGGCGUCUUUGGCGUCCGAGUUGUAAUUUGCAGAGGGCGCUUUGGCGUUGGCAGCGGUCCAAGUUCCUUGGAACAGGACGUCACAGAGGGUGAGAAUCCCGUACGUGGUCGCUGGCCUUCGCCGUGUAAAGCCCCUUCGACGAGUCGAGUUGUUUGGGAAUGCAGCUCUAAAUGGGAGGUAAAUUUCUUCUAAAGCUAAAUACUGGCCAGAGACCGAUAGCGCACAAGUAGAGUGAUCGAAAGAUGAAAAGCACUUUGGAAAGAGAGUCAAACAGCACGUGAAAUUGUUAAAAGGGAAGCGCUUGCAGCCAGACUUGCCUGUAGUUGCUCAUCCGGACUUUUGUCCGGUGCACUCUUCUAUAGGCAGGCCAGCAUCAGUUUGGGCGGUUGGAUAAAGGUCUCUGUCAUGUACCUCUCUUCGGGGAGAACUUAUAGGGGAGACGACAUGCAACCAGCCUGGACUGAGGUCCGCGCAUUUGCUAGGAUGCUGGCGUAAUGGCUGUAAGCGGCCCGUCUUGAAACACGGACCAAGGAGUCUAACAUCUAUGCGAGUGUUUGGGUGUCAAGCCCGAACGCGUAAUGAAAGUGAACGGAGGUGGGAACCUUUCGGGGUGCACCAUCGACCGAUCCUGAUGUCUUCGGAUGGAUUUGAGUAAGAGCAUAGCUGUUGGGACCCGAAAGAUGGUGAACUAUGCUUGAAUAGGGUGAAGCCAGAGGAAACUCUGGUGGANGCUCGCAGCGGUUCUGACGUGCAAAUCGAUCGUCAAAUUUGGGCAUAGGGGCGAAAGACUAAUCGAACUAUCUAGUAGCUGGUUCCU
rnacentral:sRNA from 1 species